GACCUGGCUAAGGCGAUAUUAGAAGCAG
rnacentral:sRNA from 1 species